rnacentral:rRNA from 1 species
CCUACGGGAGGCAGCAGUGGGGAAUAUUGCGCAAUGGGCGAAAGCCUGACGCAGCGACGCCGCGUGAGGGAUGAAGGUCUUCGGAUCGUAAACCUCUGUCAGCAGGGAAGAACGGUCACUGUGCUAAUCAGCAGUGAAUUGACGGUACCUGCAAAGGACGCACCGGCUAACUCCGUGCCAGCAGCCGCGGUAAUACGGAGGGUGCGAGCGUUAAUCGGAAUUACUGGGCGUAAAGCGCUCGUAGGCGGUAUGUCAAGUCAAGGGUGAAAUCCCCGCGCUCAACGUGGGAACUGCCUUUGAAACUGGCAGACUGGAGUGUGUGAGAGGUUAGUGGAAUUCCAGGUGUAGGGGUGAAAUCCGUAGAUAUCUGGAGGAACAUCAGUGGCGAAGGCGACUAUCUGGCACAUAACUGACGCUGAGGAGCGAAAGCGUGGGUAGCAAACAGGAUUAGAUACCCUAGUAGUC